rnacentral:rRNA from 1 species
UACGGGGGGGGCAAGCGUUGUUCGGAAUUACUGGGCGUAAAGGGCUCGUAGGUGGCCAACUAAGUCAGACGUGAAAUCCCUCGGCUUAACCGGGGAACUGCGUCUGAUACUGGAUGGCUUGAGUUUGGGAGAGGGGCGCGGAAUUCCAGGUGUAGCGGUGAAAUGCGUAGAUAUCUGGAGGAACACCGGUGGCGAAGGCGGCGUCCUGGACCAACACUGACGCUGAGGAGCGAAAGCAUGGGGAGCGAACAGG